AGAUAAGUGCUGAAAGCAUCUAAGCACGAAACUUGCCCCGAGAUGAGUUCUCCCUGAGACUAUAAGUCUCCUGAAGGAACGUUGAAGACGACGACGUUGAUAGGCCGGGUGUGUAAGCGCAGCGAUGCGUUGAGCUAACCGGUACUAAUGAACCGUGAGGCUUAACCUU
rnacentral:rRNA from 1 species